AAGCUCGUAGUUGAAUUUCGGGGUUCUACCGUUGGUCGGGCAAUAGUCUGUACUGGCGUGUAGAAUUUCUACCUUCUGGGGAACUAUCAAGUUAUUUAUUUAGCGUGGUAGGAAACCAGGACCUUUACCUUGAAAAAAUUAGAGUGUUCAAAGCAGGCUUACGUCUGAAUACAUUAGCAUGGAAUAAUAAAAUAGGACGGUGGUCCUGUUUUGUUGGUUUCUGAACCACCGUAAUGAUUAAUAGGGAUAGUUGGG
rnacentral:rRNA from 1 species